rnacentral:misc_RNA from 1 species
AACGCACAUUGCGCCCCUUGGUAUUCCGAGGGGCAUGCCUGUUCGAGCGUCAUUACAACCCUCAAGCAUUGCUUGGUAUUGGGCUCCGCUGCUUACCCAGCGGGCCUUAAAAUCAGUGGCGGUGCCGUCGAGGCCCUGAGCGUAGUAAAUAUUCUCGCUAUAGGGACUCGGUGGACGCUGGCCAUCAACCCCCAACUUUCUAAGUUUGACCUCGGAUCAGGUAGGGAUACCCGCUGAACUUAA